rnacentral:rRNA from 1 species
UACGGAGGAUCCAAGCGUUAUCCGGAUUUAUUGGGUUUAAAGGGAGCGUAGGCGGCUAAUUAAGUCAGUGGUUAAAGGUAGCAGCUUAACUGUUUUACAUGCCAUUGAUACUGGUUAGCUUGAGUUGACGGAAGGCAGAUAGAAUUUCUGGUGUAGCGGUGAAAUGCUUAGAUACCAGAAGGAAUACCGAUUGCGAAGGCAGUCUGCUGCAGUCACACUGACGCUGAGGCUCGAAGGUGCGGGGAUCAAACAGG